rnacentral:rRNA from 1 species
GACGAACGCUGGCGGCGUGCUUAACACAUGCAAGUCGAACGGAAAGGCCCUGCUUUUGUGGGGUGCUCGAGUGGCGAACGGGGGAGUAACACGUGAGUAACCUGCCCUUGACUUUGGGAUAACUUCAGGAAACUGGGGCUAAUACCGGAUAGGAGCUCCUGCUGCAUGGUGGGGGUUGGAAAGUUUCGGCGGUUGGGGAUGGACUCGCUGGUUAUCAGCUUGUUGGUGGGGUAGUGGCUUACCAAGGCUUUGACGGGUAGCCGGCCUGAGAGGGUGACCGGCCACAUUGGGACUAAGAUACGGCCCAGACUCCUACGGGAGGCAGCAGUGGGGAAUAUUGCACAAUGGGCGGAAGCCUGAUGCAGCAACGCCGCGUGCGGGAUGACGGCCUUCGGGUUGUAAACCGCUUUCGCAUGUGACGAAGCGUGAGUGACGGUAAUGGGUAAAGAAGCACCGGCUAACUACGUG